UAAUACGGAGGGUGCGAGCGUUGUCCGGAAUCACUGGGCGUAAAGGGCGCGUAGGUGGUCCUUUAAGCGUGUGGUGAAAGCUCGGGGCUCAACCUCGAGUCGGCCAUGCGAACUGGGGGACUGGAGCACUGUAGAGGCAGGUGGAAUUCCGGGUGUAGCGGUGGAAUGCGUAGAGAUCCGGAAGAACACCGGUGGCGAAGGCGGCCUGCUGGGCAGUUGCUGACACUGAGGCGCGACAGCGUGGGGAGCAAACAGGAUUAGAUACCCUGGUAGUCCACGCCGUAAACGAUGGGCACUAGGUGCUUCGGGGAGCGACCCUCGGAGUGCCGGCGCUAACGCAUUAAGUGCCCCGCCUGGGGAGUACGGCCGCAAGGCUG
rnacentral:rRNA from 1 species